AGCGGGGUGGGGAAGCCAGGUAUCCCGCCGGGCUCAUAACCCGGAGGUCGGUGGUUCAAAUCCACCCCCCGCUA
rnacentral:tRNA from 1 species